rnacentral:rRNA from 1 species
UACAGAGGUCUCAAGCGUUGUUCGGAUUCAUUGGGCGUAAAGGGUGCGUAGGCGGCGCGGUAAGUCGGGUGUGAAAUCUUGGAGCUUAACUCCGAAACUGCAUUCGAUACUGCCGUGCUUGAGGACUGGAGAGGAGACUGGAAUUUACGGUGUAGCGGUGAAAUGCGUAGAUAUCGUAAGGAAGACCAGUGGCGAAGGCGGGUCUUUGGACAGUUCCUGACGCUGAGGCACGAAGGCCAGGGGAGGCAAACGGG